AAAUUAUCUUUAAUUCUAUUAUAUUCUAACAUGUCCAUAUUUCGGUUACCUCUGUGGAUUUUUUUUUUACCUAUAAUAAGACACUUAAACUCUUAAAGUCAUGUCACUACAAAUCUUGUCUUUGAGCAUUUUCAUGUUGAUAGAUACACAUGUUUACACAUCGAAUCAUUAUCAUAAUUAUAAACAGGUAUAGCUUUGUUAUGGCCGAAGUAACAGGUUAUUUCUUAUCUAAAGGUUCCUCUCACUUUGGCAAUAAGGAUAGUAUCCCUCAAAGGGAUAAUGCGUUUACAACUAAAUCCCCCUCCUUCUGAUAAUUUGUGGUAUGGUUUCACAUUAAUGCCUGAUAUAGACUUCAACCUGGAAUCAUGUGUUAGAGAUCACAAAAUAACUAAUGCACGCAUCGCCCUGUUCCUGGUCAAUCGACUUAAGGAAGCAUUCCGAGAAACUUUAGUGCUCCCGAACUGAGUGCAUAAGCAUUUCAUGGAUGCUGGCUGAAAAGGAGAAUUGGGUUCCUCGGACUGUUGCUCCAUACAUGUGGGUUAAACAAGAAUGUGGACACGAUACCUCUGCUUCAAAUGAUAAAACUAGCGCAAGGAUAUUAGUUGAUGGUUCGGGGCUAACACCCCAAAACCAACAUGGGGCCAAGUCUAUAGUAGAACCAGUUAGGAAAUCGUUUUCUUUCAGAUGAGCAUCAUCUUCCUCUUGUCCAAUAGUAUUAAAGAGCAGCAGCCAAAGUUUUGACCAACUGUCAACACCUUUUCUAGAGGCUUACAUAAUGCAAGAAACUGAGGAUUUGAAAGAACUUCCAGCAUCUUCCAUAGAGAAUGAGAAUAGAGAUGAAACAUGGGAAGAGAAGACGGAGGGUAUUACUGUCUAUCAACCACAAACACUCUAUUCUCUGCUUAUGGAUAAACAAGUUAGUCCAUCUGAACAGAAAAAAAUCGGGAAGAGGGAAAAGAUGUUUGAUUUGCGAAAGAGGAUGAGCGAGAAGUUGGAAGAAAAGAGGCGUCACUUUGUUGAAAAGAUGAGAGGACCAUGAGAAAAUGAGAACAAAAGUAGAGAUCAGAACUCUGAUUUCUGUUACUGAUUUGUUGAUCAUGUCAGAUAUUAGCAACCAUUCUUAAAAGAAUCUUUUGAUUGAUGAAUUGUACAUCUUAUAGGUUCUUAGAGGAUCUAAUUUAACUAGAUGUAUACUUUACUAAGUGACAGAAAUUACUGUUAAUGCAUUCCAUGGAGUUACAAAUCCACAGGGUAACAUAGAAGAUUCAUUUAAUUGUUGAUUAACAAAUUAUAUGACACAGACAUGCCAUAGAGAUUACAGAGAAAUGAUAUACAGAUUCAUAUACCCUCUCAUUUGAAGGGUGAGUUUCUAUUCA